CCUACGGGGGGCACCAGUAGGGAAUCUUCCGCAAUGGACGAAAGUCUGACGGAGCAACGCCGCGUGAGUGAUGAAGGCUUUCGGGUCGUAAAACUCUGUUGUUCGGGAAGAACAAGUGCUAGUUGAAUAGGCUGGCACCUUGACGGUACCUAACCAGAAAGCCACGGCUAACUACGUACCAGCAGCCGCGGUAAUACGUAGGUGGCAAGCGUUAUCCGGAAUUAUUGGGCGUAAAGCGCGCGCAGGUGGUUUCUUGAGUCUGAUGUGAAAGCCCACGGCUCAACCGUGGAGGGUCAUUGGAAACUGGGAGACUUGAGUGCAGAAGAGGAAAGUGGAAUUCCAUGUGUAGCGGUGAAAUGCGUAGAGAUAUGGAGGAACACCAGUGGCGAAGGCGACUUUCUGGUCUGUAACUGACACUGAGGCGCGAAAGCGCGGGGAGCAAACAGGAUUAGAUACCCGAGUAGUC
rnacentral:rRNA from 1 species